UAUCCAACCAUCUCAUCCUCUGUCGUCCCCUUCUUUCCCAGCAUCAGGGUCUUUUCCAGGGAGUCUUCUCUUCUCAUGAGGUGGCCAAAGUAUUGGAGCCUCAGCUUCAGGAUCUGUCCUUCCAGUGAGCACUCAGGGCUGAUUUCCUUAAGAAUGGAUAGGUUUGAUCUUCUUGCAGUCUAUGGGACUCUCAAGAGUCUCCUCCAGCACCAUAAUUCAAAAGCAUCAAUUCUUCAGUGAUCAGCCUUCUUUAUGGUCCAGCUUUCACUUCCAUACAUCACUACUGGGAAAACACCUUCAUGGAUCACUGUCUUGCCGUGGCGAAGGGGCUUGAAUAACUCAGAGAUGCUAUGAACUAUGCCGAGCAGGGCACCCAAGAUGAACAGGUCAUAGUGGAGAGUUUUGACCAAACGUGAUCCACCUGGAGGAUGAACCGGCAAGCCACUCCAGUAUCCCUGCCAAGAAAACUCCAUGGACAAAGACAAAAUUAGUAAAGUAUCUGAAUAUAAAGGUGGGAUGAUUUAUUUUGAAAUUUCUCUCUCUCUCUCUCUCUCUCUCUCGAUAGUCAACUGUGCAUUUGAACGUCACAAUAUUACGUUUUAAGAACAUGAAAAAACAGUCUCAUCCAGUGCUUAUAAAGUAAGUUGAAAAACAAUGCAAGAUGGAGAAACCCAACUAAAAUCGGUCCUUUAAAAUUCAGAACAUUUCAAAGCUGUACUGCAUCUUUUGGAGAAGAGAGUUCUUUUGACAAUGCUCAAGAAAGGUGAUCCAAUUUGGUAUAAAACUAUUUCAACUUUGUCCUGAAUCUUUUGAUGUCAGAAAAAUGUGCCAGCUUAGACUUUGAAGUGAAUUCCCAAAUUUUAUCUAUUCAUCCACUCAUUAAUAAUGGGUGUUACAUGAAACCUCCAUUUCCUUGCCAACAGCAUUCCUCCUGCUGCUACUAUGUAUGAAAAUAGUUUUUUUGUGUUCUUUCCUUAUUGAGUCAUCAGCAUAAUUUCAUAAUAAUAGUAGAGGAUCAUAUGGGAUUUCAUAACCUAAUAUACCAAAUUGCACUUCCACAGCAUACAAUAAUAGUAUCUUCCAAUAUAUCCAACACUUAGUUCUUAUUUAUUUUACUUAGUAUUUCUGGAGUUAUAUAUCACCUUAGCAUUGCUUUAGAACAAUUUCCCUUUAUAUUCAUAUUUAAAGAAGACCUUUGUGCCCUUCCAAGUCGUCAUAUGUACAGUAUAUUAUUUGCUACGUCUUGUUCCCACUUAGUCAUGGUCCCAUUUUCUGGCACUUCUUCAAUAGUCACUGCUUUAUUUGUUGGGAAAACUCACAAUAAUGCCUCAUCACACAUUUUGCAUUUCCAGAUGUUACCAAAAGAGAGAGCAGAAGAUAGCAUGAGCCAGCUGUUGCAUGCCUCUAACACUGAAUUAUUUAAGGAAAAUAAUGAGCUUCUUUUCU